CUUCUUGUUCUGUUCUUCCUUCUUUUCCAACUGGUGGUGGUACAAGGGUUUGGAAGAGAGAGAGAGAAGCCACUAUGUGGACUCCAAGUGCUCUUUGGUUUAUAGAAAAAAAUCUGAACAAUAUUCACAAAUGUCAGAAAACUUCUGUUUUGAAGCACUGAAAGUAAACAUAGGUAAGGCCAAAGGUGGUCUCUGGGCAAUUCUAAGCCAUCAUCCAUGUUGUGCUAGGCUCUGUCACAUCAUUCCCAAGUUAUUGUCUUCUACUUUGUGUCAAGCAAAAAGAGGAAAAAAGCUACAUGAGAGAGACAUGCCAGAGACUGCAGAGCUGCAGAGACAAUUCAAAAGUGGGAUCAAUCAUAAAACUCCUACUGCUUGCAUGACAGUGAUAUGACUCUCCUUUCUUACCCCCCACAGAAGUACGGGGAAUGGGAGAUGGAGGUUACGGUCUGUUUGUUACAGAUGGACUUUGCCACUGCUUCUUCUCAGGAGGAGGCUUCCUCACACUUCCCAGUGCUACACUGUGUGGUCCCUCCUAUGGGAGACAGUCCCUCACGAACUUCUCCAAGACAGAAUAGACCUUCAGGUACCAACUGCUCCAGUCUGAGUCCAUCAAAGAGUCACAAGUUCUGACAGCAAACCUGCUCUGGCAUGGACUCCUCUCUCCCCACAGGCUCCCAGGUCCUGCCAGGAACUUACUCCACUGUGAGCUUCCCAUGGAAUCACAGAUAACUAAUCCUUUAAGUGCAUGGGAAAACACUUAAUUUGAAGUGCUUUGUUCUUGAUUUGAAUCCUGCCUUUGGAACCUAUGAUGAUGACUGACUGGAAAAGCCUUUAAAUAUACAAUGUGUUAAAGCUGUUCACAGGAUUUUAAGAAUCUCAGAAGAUUAAUCAAUGAAAAAAAAAAAAGUUUCUGAUUCCCCCAAAGGUUUGGUGAUAGCUUACUGAAGUUAAUGAAAGUAUUGCUGUUUAGCAUUUCUUCUUGAUUUGCAAAAAAAAUGACCAUUUUCUACUAUAAGCUUGACCAGAUAGGGAGUUACUUUUAAUUAGGUAGAUCAGGAGGCAUGUAAAUAGGAAAUCUAUCAAGAAACAGAAUGACUUCUACUUAGAAUACACAGUAGAAGACUGUCUUGGUGUUUAUGGGUUGUGAUCUUGUUUAAUUGUUGCAAACAGAUAAGGUGAUUUACUGAGAAACCAUAUUAUUACAAGUCACAAUAGUUUGUAGGAACUAAAAUGUUAAGCCUUAGUGAGAGUAUUUUCUCAUGUCCAUGACAUAUUCUGGAGAACAGCAAGUAAAUUUAAGAACCAUUUAUAACCUAUUCUUAACAGGUCAUUUUGACAGAGUAUUGAAAAUAUGAACACGCAGUUCAGAACUGGUCAGAAAUGGAAUAAAAGAUUCUAUUUUUCUCACUCAUCUCAAAAUUCAUUACUAGAUUUUUUUUUUUUUAAUUUUCUUUUUAAUAGCAGCUUGUUUGCUCUAAAAAAUACAGAAAGAGAUGUGGAGGAAGGACUCUUGAAAAUGUCAUCCAUGUUUUGAAAAGGGGAAGCUUUACAUUUUCACUUCCAAAAUCUCAGCUUUAAAAGGAACAUAGUCUGCUGGGUAAGGCAGAAAAUGUUAAAAGCUGACAAAAGAAAUAACUUCAAACAUUACUGAGUUCCAGUUUGUUUUUGAACCUGUGCCUCAGGCUUUCAUUUUAUAUUUAAUGCUGUUUCCUGAGUCUAAUUGUUCCAAAGAAGCAGUGAUGAAAGCUAAAGAAAGAAACCCUGUAACAAUUUUCAAAAUCUGCUUUUGGUGAUAUCUACUGGUUAAAUAAAUCCCUCUCUGUAAAGUUCAUUUGUGGUGAACUCCUGAAGAAACAAGAUGUUUUACAUCCAAAAUGUUCUCACAGAUUACUAGUGGGAACCAUCAAUGAGUUUACUGUUCCUGGACGAGUUUUUGUUCACUUUACUUGCAUUUCCACUUGCACUUUCUUUCCGGCCCUCUGUACACAUUCACAGAGUGAUCUCAGUAUUUUGGAGCAAGUGGUGUAUAGCAAGUAUUCUUGCUCCUUUGCCAGGUUUCUAUUCCAUUUCUGUAGGCAAAGUAGCCAUGCAGAGUCCAUGAAGAGUUUCUGCUGAUGUUGCAGAGGAAAACUUAAACCACAUUUUAAUGGCCAUGUUAUUGAAGACAGCUACACUUUCAUCCAGAGUAUAUGGAGCAAUGAACCCUCAUGGCUUCAAGGUGAAGCACAAAUACUGAUUUCAAUUCUUCAUCCUACUGUUACUUUUCCACUUUUGAGCAAGUUUUGUCUUUGCUUAUCUCUCCAUAAAAUGGGUUAGGACAGGAAUUUCUUGUCAUCAAGGCAUUUUAUGUGGCUAAUUAACUUAUAUUUGUAAUGUCCUUUUAUGGCACUUGUAUGAAAAGCCUUACAUUGCUGUUGUAAUGAGUUCACUCUCUUCCUAUCAACUGCAAAUGAAGCAAUGGCUGUUUUAAUACUGAAACAUAUUGCUACUCUUAAUUAUGGGCUAGAUUAUUAUCACUCUCAGCCCAGCUUGAAGGUACUCUCUUCUUUGAAAUAUCCAUUUCUCAGGUUUGUGCUGUUAGGUUCAGCUAAUUUAUUUUUGUAAUUGGAAAGGAAGUAAGUUUGAGGAGGCAUCACUGUGCUUCAUCUUGCCCAUCAGGACUGAAUAGCUUGUGGUCAUUUGAAUGUGUUAAGUAUCCCGGAGUGCAGCCAGGAAAAGCUCUGUAAAAUGUAAAUUGCAUUGCACUGAAAAUGUAGCAGCUGUUCAUAAGUGAAGAACAGGAAGGAAAGGCAGGUGAGCCUCAACUCAAGGUCUAUGUGUGCUCAGUGCCAUGGGUCUCUAACAGGGCACAAAUCCAUUUCUGACUCCUAGUAUUUACAACAUUCUAUUAUUUUGGUAUCAUUUGGAAGUUAAUUACAGGGCCCAUCAGCUCUUUUGGCUCAACAAUAUUUCAGUGAAAAGCAUUCAGACAUUAUGUUACUGGUUGUAAGGGAUAUUAUCAAGAAAUCAGAGAAGUGUAAUAGUCAAGGGAUUUCUUUGUUAAUAAAGAACUUGAUGAAAAGCAAGCUACUUAACACUAAAAUGAGUUGAAAUAUUGCUGAUGGCAAAUUUUGAAGUUAAUUUGAAAAAAACAAACUUAGAAGACAUUUUCAAGUUUACAGAAUGCCGAAAAUAUGCAGAAAAUUUGUAAAAAUAUAGAUCUCAAGGUAUAGAAUCUGAAGACUUCUGUCAUACAAUUUUAAAAGUCAUAAAUCGGAAACCAUUGUGUUUAAAGUGAAAAAUUCAAUGAAUUAUUCAUAUUGAAAGCCACAUCUAUCCACAGUUGCAUUAGGUCUUAUAAUGAUUGUUUAGAAACUACGUUAGGGAAAAGCUACAGCCUAUGUUUUAUCUGCACUUUGUCCACUGAGAAGACUGGUGUGCCAAGAAAGAGGCUGCUAAUUAUACCAGAUGGUCACCGUGUUGCAUGUUUAGGCAGAGCAGGCCCAAUUGGGCUGGCUUUGGCAGGAUCACACCUAUAGCACACAAUUUUCCAAUGUGAACUGAAAUCUGACUAGAUUCUGUCAGAGUCUUUCACAAUGCAGUAGCUGGAAAUCGACAUACCAUCCUGCAUCUUGCUGAUGAUAACGCAUGACUCAGAGGGACAAACUUUGCCUCAACAGCUAGCAAGGAACUUGUUUCUGUAACAUUUUUUUCCAGCAUCAAGUAUUUGUUCCCCUGCCAACUAAUGUAUAUUUCAGUAGACAUGGUAUUUGUGGGCUGAAUAGAGAUGAGCUCACUUUAUAUUAAUGUUUGCGUUCCCAAAUGAAACAUUCACACAAUAAUGAUAAUGCAGUAUAAGGAAAAUUGUUUCACAUUUGCUUUUCUUUAUGUACUCUGUUCAUGGAUUGUGUGAAGAUUUACAGUGUAUGCAUCCAGCAUGAAGUCAUGCUUCAGUGCCAGUGCAUUUCCUUGAUUCUGCCUACUAUAUUUUUCAAAUGAAUAAUAUAAUGCAUAUAUAUUUUGCCUCAGGAAAACAAAUCCAUCCUCACAAACCCCAGUGAGGAAGGAAAGUGUAUUUUUACUUUAAUAAUUCCAAAUAUAAAUGCUAAAAUAGGGCCAGAUCCCCAAAAAUCAUGAGGGUAUCUUAAACAUCAUGAAAAUAUAAGAAAUUGUAAUACCUUUCAAGAUGUCUUUUUUGUUGUUUUUUUUUUUAAUUUUGAGUAUUAAGAGACACUUGGGAUGCAUUUUCAAACUUUUUUUAAACCUUGGAGUCUAGAAAGUUAUUUUUUGAAAUAAAAACCUCCCAAUACUUAUGUAUACAUUUCAGACAUAAAGUGAAAUUUGAAUAAAUACAUCAUUAUUUAUUUUGACCUUCAUACUAAGACCAUGAUCAUGGCAAGGGGGCUGUCAUAUUUUUGCAGGCAAAUAAAUAUGGCACAUAAUAACCAAACCGGGGAUUUGUAAUGAAAACUCUUUUCAGCAGGACAUGCAAUUCCCUUACAGUCUCUUGGAAAUGCCAACUACAGAUGAGUUCAUUUCACCUUAUCCAAGUUUGUUGUUUGGGAUCUGUAAUGGAAAAGAUUCAUAUCACCUAAUUCUAUCUGUCUUGUAGGUGUCUAGCCUAAAUGAGCUGCUAAGGUUCCUCUUACAGUUAAUGGAGAGUGACAGGAACUUCCAGACUGCAAUUCAUUCCACCUGUCAUAGACGCCUCCUCCUGGGGAAGAGUGAGUGUCUCUGCAGCCUCCACUGAUUUUACAGGAAGUUUGAGACAGCUCAUUCCCACCCUUAUUUUUCACACAGUUGAGGCUGGAAGUGAGGGAACCCAGCACAAAGUCACUAAGAACCACUGCCCCUAGGUGUCAUCUGAGUUCCCAAACUGAACCUGAACCAAACACUGAACAUCACAUACUACUUUGGUACUUGGUAGUUAAAUUGAAUGUAAACUUUUGUGCUUCUAUGCGUUUGACAGCUUAUGAAACAAUUUGGUUUGUAAUACAUUUGCUUAAAUGAAAAUCUGAUUAAUUCCACUGUACUGAGUUAUUAGAACUAAUAGGUUUUGUUACAUGUGUUGCAAUUUAAGCAUUGUAAUUAUUCAGAGCUGAGUGAAUAUCAUAAAACAUUUGUCAUGAAUAUUUGCACACAUUUUAAACAAAAUUGUCCUUGACAGUGUUUGCAACAGUUAAAUAUUUGAUUUUCAUGUAUAUUUGGGUGAGAUAAUUUUCUUUUCAUGAAUAUCAGCAGAGAGGGGAUCUCACAUGAAAUUUCACACAAAUAUUUAUUUAAGUAAAUAGUUGUACCUGCAAUAUACUUGCCAGCAUCUUUGAGAAUCAAUGAGGUGAAUGGUCAUGUGACUGGCAAAGCAGUUUGAAAUGUAUUAAUAAUAACUUCUGCAGACAUCGCCAGGAAGAAGAUGGGAAUGAGAAUCAUUGUCUAGCAUGAUAUCUCAAUCAUCCAUUAUUUCCACAUACAAGGAUACAACUUUAGACAUCUUAGAUUCAUCUACCACUGGAACAUCCAUAUUAUGCACAAGUACACUGGGUUCCUGUACUGCAUUUGUACUUGCAUCUCUCCUGUUGCCUGGAGCAAGAUUUGCAGUGUUUCCAUUCGAGUUGAAGAGAGUGUGGGAAAGAUUGAACAUGUCAAAGAAUGAUCGCCUCUGAUACCAGUCUUUUACAUGGCACAAUGCUUGAUAUUCAUCCUGACAAGCUUUGUAUUUCUGUGGCACUGGUGUUUGCACCUAACUUUGCCUACUCUCUUUGAAGUGAACAGAGAAAAUUGAUUAUCAUACCCAAACCUACAGUGGAAGUCAGGAAGGAGUGAGUUAUGUUUGGUGUAUCUACACUACAAGUGUUCCUCUACUUCAUCCAAUAACUCAGCUUUCCUCUUGCUCUUAGAACCUGUUACUUUCUUCAUCUAAACCAGCUAAAUGGCCUUGAGCUUGCUCUCUUCUAAGGUGGCACACAAGGGUCAGUAAGCUUCAGAGGCAAUUUUCUAUAAGCAAUAUAGGUGGUUGUCCCAGCUCCCAAGCCCAAUAGGAAAGGUGUCAUAACUCCCAAAUCAUUUUGCAGAUUGUAGACCAUAUACCAUUGUUCUCCUGAUAUUAAAAUACCAUUCCCUGUGACACAGUCACUGUGUCAUUGCAGUCACCUUGAAUUCAAAAAAAAUGAAUAUGAAUGAUCGCAGUGUUCUAGGGUCAAGUGCUCUAGUGUGUGGAAGCAGACUGGUUCUGCUAAAGUGGGCAGCCCUGAGCACUGAGGACAUGACAUCGUCUUGCAUCGAAGUACAACACUAUUUAGCUGCAUAAAUGGACCUAUUACUUCCCACUUUUAAUAAAGGCCUUCUAGGCAUCUACAUUAUUAAUAUCUAAAGAUAGGUGGGAUAACUUCUCCUUGACUUGGAUGAUAUCUUUCAUUUUCUGCCUUUUCAAGGGGAAAAAGACAGCUAAGAAGAAGAUCAGGCCGGUGGGAUGCUCCAGCAUCUGUUGAGUGAGGAAUGCACUGGCAGUUUCUCAGGACUAAAGAGAGCAAGUGUGUGAAUCUAAUGCCUGCUGCUCAUUGAGUUAGUGCCUGGACCAAUAAACCUCCUGUUAAAAUGAGCCUGCUGUGACUGUUUUGUUGGUAUUUUUAAUUUAAACAAUAGCUAAUUAAAUAUGAAAGCAAUUAGUAUUUCUGUUCAAACAGCUGUCAUGUAAUGUCUGGUGCUGCAGUUAUAAUUCCUUAGCAGUAUUGCAAAUUGUUUAGAAGAAAUGGCUUUUUGGGAGUGGAAGAGGAAAUAGGGCAGUAUUUUCUAUGGAUUUUGAAAACCACUGGCAGGUGCAUUUUGCUUUUGCAGCUUCAAUUUGGAAGCAUGUGGGAUGAUUAGAAACAUAAAUAUCUUUUGGAACUUUAGGCAGCAUUAAAGUAUACAAUAGGCAGAUGCUGUCUUCCAGCUUUUUUAACAGUGGAAGAUUAUCCUAUGCAGGGUCUCAAAACCUCAGUGGAGAGGGAAAGUGUUAUAGUCUUCCUCCGUCUUUGAGGUUCUUCAGACAGCCUAGUUUGAUGACAGUAAAAAAAAUGAGAACAAGUAAGGAACUGGUGAGGCCCAAAAUCACCUGGAUUUCUUGUUCUCUUGGCAGCAGAUUGUAGUUUACAUGAGGAAAAGCUAAGAUAUUCUUAGCUUUCCUUCACUUCCUACCUUACACUAUAAGACAGUAAAGCCAGGAAGGCUCUCCAGUGAUUUUGGUUUAAUGAAGACACCCUGCCAGUGACAGGAUGGGCAGUGGCCUAGAUGUAGGCAAUGAAUGGAACAGUGUGUAUCUCAUCUUUCACUCUUCAAUGCCCUUUAUAUUGGUUCAAUAUAAACCAAUAUAUAUUAUAUAGCCAAUUCAAUAUUUUUAUUUAUAUUAUUAAUUUAUAUAAAUUGGAGUCAAUAAACAAACUUGCAGUUAUGUAUGUCUAACAGAAGUCUGGGAAGUCUGCACACCUCUUCAUGCCAUUCUUACCCAAUGCUCCUGUAUUUGAGCAUGGCCUUGCAGCAUUUAAAAAGUUCAAAAUUGUACAACCGUUCCAUUAAUUAAUUGAGUCUGUUUCCUGAGCUGCUUAUGCUAGAGACUUGCCUUUUAGCUGUAGUUCAGUCUGUACUUUUGUAAUCUGAGCUGCUAAUACAAUUUUUUUAACAAACUAAUAAAGAGAUAUACAAAAUAUUUUAGUUUCUUAUUGGUGUUAUCCUGACUUUCUGUGUUAAAUCACCUAGUAACUUACUGAUGUGGUUAAACAGAACUGCCAUCACCAUAAAUUCUGUUCUUACAUAAGAAUAUAGGGGAAAAAAUAUUCUUAAAUCAGACCUCUAUCUGGUGUAAAUUUGCAUAGUUUCUUCCAAAUUAAAAUCUCAAUUUUGUUUACUGUGGUUGAGAACUGGGUCUACUCUUGGCUUUGGCUGGAAAGAGUACAAAGGAAACUCAUUACUUCCAAGUUUCUUAUUGUGAAUAAAUAAUCGACAUUGAUCUAUGUUCAGUCACCUUGUAUACAUUAUUAAAUACUUGUUUACUAAACAACCGUUACUGUUUAAAAAAGAACAACCAAAAACUUCACUGAAAAAUACAUUAAAUCUCAGUAUAAAAUCAACCUAAGGAGUUUAGCAGUGAGGUGAGUGAAGUUCAUUUAAUUAAAAGAUUGCUAGAGGGGAGACAUUGGCAGAUCAAUUUUUUAAGUUUGUGGAAUUAUGCACUGAUAUGCAAGUUUAAAGUUACUGCAUCUGAUUGCAGAAUAUAACAAAUGGGAAACAUUAUAUAUUUAUGAAUCAUUCAAUAUCUUCCCCCUUUUUUUCAACUGGCUUAUUGGAAAAUUAAAAAAAAAAUCCAUUUGAUGUUGUGACAGCCAGACUUAAAUAGACAUUACCAAAAUAUAUAUGAGAAAGUGUUAACUUACAUUUCAACAUGAAAUUCUAAUUCAAAAUUCCACACAGUGGGAAACCAAGGAGUAAGUUUUAUUGCCUGAAGACAUGCAGAAACUGCUUUAUAGGAAAUUGUCUUUUUGAUAACGGACACUAACUGAUUAUA